rnacentral:rRNA from 1 species
UACGGAGGGUGCAAGCGUUGUUCGGAAUCAUUGGGCGUAAAGCGCGUGUAGGCGGCUUGGCAAGUCGGUUGUGAAAUCCCGGGGCCCAACCCCGGAACUGCAUUCGAAACUGCCUCGCUAGAGUCCCGGAGAGGAAGGCGGAAUUCCCGAUGUAGAGGUUAAAUUCGUAGAUAUCGGGAGGAACACCAGCGGCGAAGGCGGCCUUCUGGACGGUGACUGACUCUGAGACGCGAAAGCGUGGGGAGCAAACAGG